UCGAGCAAAGCACUUAGUCAUCGCUUGUUCAUCUUGCGAGAAAGUAAGAGAUGCCUUGACGGUGUCGCUGAAAACGCUGCCUGUUCUUGAAUCACUCCUGAAUGACGUGGUAUACACAGCGACCAGAGGAGCUCUGGCUCUUGUGUGAAGGCAAUACGAAAACCGCUUCAUAGCACCAAGUUAUAUUCAGAAAAUAACUGCCCCAUAAUGUGAACUAACUGGUGUAUUUUAAAGGAAGAAAUAUAAACACUACAGUAAGAACAAGAUGCCAGUCAGAUCUGUUGCAACUGGCUGAAUUCUAGUGCUGCAGCUGCUUUACUGAAGGAACAUUCUGCCAGAUGUUUAAGUGACAACUCAUUCAUGCUAGAAAUUGGACUUGAAAAGUUAGCAGUAAGAAAGUCACCAUGUGACGGGCAUCAUUCACUGUCAGAAAAGACAACUCAGCUCCUUCCAAGGUUUUGUGUCUCCUGCCGGGAAUACUCAUCCAUGCUAAUUUGCUUGACAUUUCCUUACUCCUGUGGGGAAGCACUUCACCUUUACUUUGUGUAAACCUAAAUAGUCAAGAUCCCCAUCUUAUCAUAGCACAUAGUUGUGUGUUUUGUGCAGUUUCACUGCACUGCUGAUGUUUCAUUGUUUAGCAAUUCAGAGUGGUGUCUUUCCUACGCGUACUGCAGAUUAGUUAUGCAGAUAAUUGAAAGAUACAGCUAAGGAAAUGAGCUUAAUGAAAGAAUACACCACCAACUGGUGUAGAAUUGCAAAAGCAGAUGAGGAUUGAUCUCAACACUGCCUUGUGGUUGCAGCUGAAAAAUUGCAGUGGCGCAUGUAGUACCCUCAUCCCACUGUGAUCUUGCCUGCUACCAUUUUGCUUGGCCUUCACUAGACUAGAACACCAGGAGCAGGUGAGAGACUCAUUAAAAUAUUUAAAUCGAGGCCCUUCAAUGUCAAAAGAGGAAGUAGUGUGUAGUGCUAGACUCACCUUGAACUAUUGGGUGGUACAGGUAUAGGACAAUGAUCGGAAUAUUUCACAAAUAUUUCAAGGGGAAUUUACCAACUAAUCAAUUAUUAAUAUCUAUGGGUAAUUCACCUGGAUGGAUUUCUUAAGUUCUUCAAUUGACUUCAUAGAUUUUUUAUUUUUCUUCUGCUUUUAAACCUUCACAAAGCAUAGGAUGCAAGAUGGGAGUCAUCCUCCCUCUGAACCAACAGUAGCAGCCAGGCUCUGAGGCAGUCCUACACCAGAAGGGUGCCUUAAGUCAUCUCUACCUUGCUAUAGGCUCAGGGUCUAUUACUUUUUCUCCGAGAAAUAGUACAUCAGGGUGAGUAUCUUGUGGUGCAUUGGUAGCAUCCUUACCUCUAAGCCAGAAGUUCCAGGUUGGAGUCUUAAUCUAGGACUUGAUGGUCAUGGAAGGUGCACUAAUAACAUGGCCAAACAAGUUGAUUAUUAACUGCAAAUCCUUCCAAUACUCUGACAGCUUGUGGUAAGAAUGAGAGAAUCUCCUUGUCAGCCAGAACCUGCAGGAGGCAACAGUAAACCACUGCAGCACUUUGCCAGGCACAACAAUGGACCAACACACAAUAAGUCCCUGGUUGCCAAUGCCCUCUUAGGGCAUGGUACCUGAAGAGAGAGAGAGAGUAGAUCAAGAGCCACGACCUCCAGAAAGGUUGUCACAGACUUGUGUAGACUCUUAAAACAAGGCCUGCACUCCACUCUCACAGCCAGCCAUGCGCUUUUUGUAGCAGUCAAAGUGACUUCAGACUUUUUUUUACAUCAGGUUGUAGUAGCUGGUGGUGGUCACAUUAGUCAAUUUGUAGUCCAUUGAUAAUAUCAAUGCCCACUGAUCAUUAAUGGCUUCUUUGUCAAAGCCAAUCAUUUUACAACAUGGCCAGCAGCAUUCAUGUCCUUGCUAUUUGUUUCAGGUUAUUAAAAUAUUUGUGGUACUGAACCUGUACUUGGGGUGAUGGCUGCAUGUGUUGACAUUGCCUACUAGCUCCCUUCAGACUUGCUGUAUUGUUUGCUUGGGUACUUUCCUAACAUUGAGGGAAAUAGGGCCUGUUUACAUGCCCUCACCUGCUCCGCUAUCAUGUAUGAGAAUCAAGGUGCUUUUGUCUGUGACAUAUUGCUCUCCAGCAACAGCUCGGCAGCAGCACUGAUUUUCAGAGGUCUGUGACUCCUUGCUUUAAGAGGUGCAACCACAUUUUAAAUGGUUGCUGGGGUAGCUAGAAAUCCUGUCCUCCAAUGAGCAUCACUGCUGGAAAUGCAUGGAGAGCCAAUAAAAUAAAAAUGUGGCUUCACUAUCAAAACAGUGCAGACCUCCGAUUGAUGACACUCGGCAGUUGGCAUCCCAAUUACCCUGCCCAGUUCAUGCUCCAAAAUCCCAGCAGUAAAAUUCAAUUGCAUUCAGUGAAUAAUAAGGUUCAUGUCACAAUUAAGCUAGGCAUAUUGUUCAUUACAGACAAAAAGUGCUUUUCUCACCCUAGUUGUGCAUAUUGUGAAAUUCUGGUUACAGGAGCUCUGGCCUAACAUUUGAAUUACACCAGGAAUGCUGGAAGCUGAGGUGGCAAGAACAAGAGCUUCACCACUACUUGGUGUACUGAGCCUUAAAGACAAGAAAAGCUCCAGUUUAUACUCCUGAUUAGAGAAGCAGACCACUUCUUGAAGAGAUUCUACACUGUAAAAGGACUAAACCAAAUUAUGAACUGGAAGGUGUAGGAAUUUAAUGGACAAAAAAUCUUGGCAAUUCACUGGACUCCAGUUCAAUUUUCCAGCUUGUGCUCUUUAGGCACAAAACUCCACAACAGGAGCAUGAACUUAUAAAAUCUACAUUGUCUAUAAUGAGGUCAAUUAUUGACUGAUUCCAAGCUUUUCAAGCCAAAUUAAGAUCUGUUUGUUGCAUUGCUGGUGCCUUCAAUUUAAAUGCUCCACUUAUUAUCAACCGUUACUUUGAACUAGAACAAAGAUCAUGGGAAUGCAUCAAAUAAUGUAUAGUUCACACAAUGAGCGACAUUGCCUGUGUGCUGAGGUAGAGGCUGAAAAGGAAUGUGUACAAUCCUUAUAUUCCCUGCCAUUAGAAACACAUGAGAAUGUAGUUACAGAAGAAUCACCUGUACAUGUCUACAAUGCAGUUGAAACAACCCCGCAAUUACUCCAAGGACACAGUUGCCGAGUUGGGCAAUCUCAUUUUAUCCCCUAAUCUCGGACAUCCCAAUGACAGCUCUACCUUUCUUUAUGGUUUAAAGCCUUGGAGGGUUUGACUGAAAUAAAUUGUUCUUCGGUGCACUGUUACCAUUGAGGUUUUGCUGAAGAAUAGAUCUGGUUAUAUACAGUUAGGCACCAAGUUCCAGCAGCACAUAACAUGGCAAGUCAUAUUUGAUUGCAACUGUUUGUUAAGUAUCUGGGGUGAUAAAGCCUUAAUAGGCACAUAAGUGAGACCAGUCAGGCCAAGCUGUGCUGAGAACAGGCUCAAGGGGUUAAAUUGGCUACUCCUGGUCAGAUGCUAUUGUAUCUUACUACAUUGAAGACCUGAAUAAGGAGAUAACAUGUUAGAUGAGAAUCUCCUGGUGGAUUCUGACUGUUUUCUUUGGCUCUGCCUGAUACUUGGAGCGUAAUUUUAUGGCCCCUCCCACUGGCGGGAUUUUCCGGUCCCACCAAAGUCAUGGACUUUUGAAUGGUGCGAUGGGGCCUAAAAUUCAGCCCUUGACAUUUGGUAAGAUUUCCCUCCCUAGUCUUCCACUAGGGAAUUUUCACAGGAAGUGCACUUUAAUGGUCUCAUUAAUUUAAAAAAGUUUAAAGGAUUUUCCACAAAAGGGUCCUCGGAGGACAUGGAGAUUAAGCUUUGUGGGAGGUUUUCCAGUCUUUAAUUGUUCUUUGGGGGGGAUAAAUAAGAGUUAGCAAAGGAAGUGGGAUGUGUAUUGUUGAAGCUGUUAGUUGCGAACUCUUCGAGCUCAGUUACUUUUGGGCUUGAUGUACUGCUUAGAAAUAUUGAAUUUUCCAGUCCAAUCUUUAUAGAAGCAUGUCAACCUGCAGGACUUUCUUCAGUUCUGGAGACUGUGCCAGCAUAACAACAUGACAACUCAUGAGUAAUUGUUUGUAACAAAGUGAGAUGCCCAGCAUUGAACUUUCUCAAGGAGGACAAUGUUUUUUAUACAAUGUGUUUAUUAUAAAACAUAUAAACAAUGCAUGUAUAAGAUAUGUGAUAUAUAUAAUGUUUUAAUGUUUUGAUAACAAAAGUAAAUGUGAUAAUUAAUAGCCUGAGGAUAAGUCCUGUACUAAAACAAGGGUACAUAAUGAUCAGCA